AAUCUGCGGAGGGAUCAUUAC
rnacentral:rRNA from 1 species